GAUGAACGCUGGCGGCGUGCCUAAUACAUGCAAGUCGAACGCACAGCGAAAGGUGCUUGCACCUUUCAAGUGAGUGGCGAACGGGUGAGUAACACGUGGACAACCUGCCUCAAGGCUGGGGAUAACAUUUGGAAACAGGAUGCUAAUACCGAAUAAAACUCAGCGUCGCAUGACACAAAGUUAAAAGGCGCUUUGGCGUCACCUAGAGAUGGAUCCGCGGUG
rnacentral:rRNA from 1 species